GGGGUGUUUACGGGAGGUGCUCCUAGCUAUUAUGAAGGUAAUGGGGGUGGUUGCGGCAUGUGCUCCUUGUCAAUAUUAAGGUAAUGGGUGUAUUUACGGGAGGUGCUCCUAGCUAUCAUUAAGGUAAUGGGGGUGAGUGUGGCAGGUGCUCCUAGUCUAUAUUAAGGUAAUGGGUGUAUUUACGGGAGGUGCUCCUAGUCAAUAUUAAGGUAAUGGGGAUGGUUGCGGCAUGUGCUCCUAGUCAAUAUUAAGGUAAUGGGUGUAUUUACGGCAGGUGCUCCUAGUCAAUAUUAAGGUAAUUGGGGUGGUUGUGGCAGGUGCUCCUAGUCUAUAUUAAGGUAAUGGGUGUAUUUACGGGAGGUGCUCCUAGUCAAUAUUAAGGUAAUGGGGGUGGUUGCGGCAGGUGUU